rnacentral:ribozyme from 1 species
AAAUUGAAAUAGAGAAAAAAAAAGAAAAAAGAACAGAGGGCGGAGGUGAAGGUCACGUGGGGGUCCGGGGAAAAUCAGGUGCAUCUCUCCUUUUUCAAUUCCUCGAUUUUGAUUUUGUGUGUGU